rnacentral:rRNA from 1 species
GUAGGUGGCAAGCGUUGUCCCGGAAUUAUUGGGGCGUAAAAGCGCGCGCAGGUGGGGUUCGUUUAAAGUCUGAUGUGAAAAGCCCCCCGGGCUCAACCCGGGGGAGGGUCAUUGGAAACUGGGGGAACUUGAGUGCAGGAGAGGAAAGUGGAAUUCCACGUGUAGCGGUGAAAUGCGUAGAUAUGUGGAGGAACACCAGUGGCGAAGGCGACUUUCUGGCCUGUAACUGACACUGAGGCGCGAAAGCGGUGGGGAGACAAACAGGAUUAGAUACCCUGGUAGUCCACGCCGUAAACGAUGAGUGCUAAGUGUUGGGGGUUUCCGCCCCUCAGUGCUGCAGCUAACGCAUUAAGCACUCCGCCUGGGGAGUACGGCCGCAAGACUG